GACGAAUGCUGGCGGCGUGCUUAACACAUGCAAGUCGAACGGUGAACAGGAGCUUGCUCCUGGGAUCAGUGGCGAACGGGUGAGUAACACGUGGGCAACCUGCCCCUCACUCUGGGAUAACUCCGGGAAACCGGGGCUAAUACCGGAUACGACCUGGAGCGACAUCUCUCCAGGUGGAAAGAACUUCGGUGAGGGAUGGGCCCGCGGCCUAUCAGCUAGUUGGUGGGGUAACGGCCUACCAAGGCGACGACGGGUAGCCGGCCUGAGAGGGCGACCGGCCACACUGGGACUGAGACACGGCCCAGACUCCUACGGGAGGCAGCAGUGAGGAAUAUUGCGCAAUGGGCGAAAGCCUGACGCAGCGACGCCGCGUGAGGGACGACGGCCUUCGGGUUGUAAACCUCUUUCAGCAGGGACGAAGCGAAAGUGACGGUACCUGCAGAAGAAGCACCGGCUAACUACGUGCCAGCAGCCGCCGUAACAC
rnacentral:rRNA from 1 species